UUUUUUUCCGGCCAGCCCACUCUCUCGCCGUCUGGCCAACCCAACACUGUCACCUCACACCGCCGCAGGCCGGGCACGCCACCGGACCAUCUUCUUCGAUUCCUCUUCUCCUCCGGUCAGGAGGAUCGAAUCACGAGAAGUUUCACCGACGACGGCUACUUCACCGUUGACCUUUUCACCACUUGCACCGUGUUUACUGUGAUGGAGAGUGACGAGGAGUUCCUCGCUAAUGGACAAAUUAAGGAGAGUAGUGGCGAACUGGUGACUAGCGAUCCAACGGUGACCGAGCAUUACCACCAUAUUCUCCUAAGUCAGGCGUGCAGCAGCAGCAAACAGGCUGGUGACGACAACGGAGCAGCUCGGCCACCACAGCCUCCCCUAAUGUCGUCGGCCAGCAGCUCAGCUUCCAUCAGUCUUCAGGUCGUCUAGAGCAACUGCGGUGGAUGAUGGCGAACUCUUGGCGACCUCCAGCGGCAACAGCUUCGGCGAUCUUAUUUCAACUCGCAUAUGAUGCUGGGUUGUGUCACUGUUUUUUAUUGAUAGAAGGAAAAGAUAUCCAGAGUGUAUCUCUGAAGAUAAUAGAAGGAGGAGCCAUGAAUCUACUCCACAUUUGUUUCGUAGCUUUUCUCCUCUAUGUGAAGGUGUUCUUCCUCCUGACGGCCUUCCCCCUCAUCCUCUCGUCGACUGUGAACCGUUAUGGUGGUAGUUUACGACGGCGAUGGCCAGCAGCAUAUCGUGACCAGCGAGAUUUCUUCCUUCGACGGCUGAACAGAUUUGGUGUACAAUAGUAGACGACCGGCGCUCCUUCUCGGUCGAUUUCCUUCUUGACCGACGAAAAUCAAAACGUACAGCAGCAACUAUACAUGGUUUUUCUCCCGCGUGAGGCGUCGACGUGUUCUCUCCGGCGUGAACAGCGAUGGCAUAGUGAUAUUUGCUGUUGUUACUAAUUGAUGAUGAUGAAUGGGUUGUGUUGCUGUUGUUGAUUGAUGAAAGGAGGAUGAGACAAAUAAAAUAAAAACAAAAGAAAAAGUUGAAGAGGAAAACAUGGUGGAGUGUCUGCCAAAAGAAAGAAUAUGACAAAAAGGACAAAAGGGAAAAUAAAAAGAAAGAACAACAGAUGGCGAGAAUCAUGAAGUUCAAAGAUUGGAAUGGCCUAGUUUGGCGUUUUGUGAAUUUCUCAAAUGGCAGACAUGUUCCCAUGCGUAGCCUGGACGGAAUAUACAAAUUCAAGUGUGACCUUACUUGAGUUUUAAAAUAGAGGUUAAAACAAUAUUGCAUGGGGUUGUGAGAUGGAAUCUGAUUCAUGCGCCAAACUUAGCUGGAAUCCAAAAUGAAAUAUUAUAUUAUAUAAUACAAUAUACGGAGUAUAUUAUUAUUAUGGAGAAUAAUUCUCCAUAGUGAUUAUUGCCAUACUUACCGCACAUGGCUUAUCUUUAGGAUGCAUUCUGCCUAACCCACAUAUAUCCUAUUUAAUAUAUAUUUGUUUAUUUGAUGGCAGGGAACUACUAAGCGGAAUUGAGUGCGGUAGUACACUGGAAAUUAAAUGUUGGAAUAUAACUUCGGAGAUUUUGACCAUACUCAGUUAAGGUUUGCCGCCUCAUCAUAUUUUAAUAUGAUAAAAUAUUAUUCAUGCCGUAUACAUUUAUAUGAUAUUAGUUAUGUGCAAAUGAUUAUUAUGUGCACUAGUAAUAUAUUAUUUGGCAUUAUCAUAUUUCAUAAAAUAUUAUUAUGGCAUGAUAAGAGUAUAUAUGAUCUAUGUAUUUACAUCCAGUUGAUGAUUUAAUUUUGAGAGCAUUUGAAAUAUGAAAUAUUGUGACAAGCAUUUUUAUGGUGAA